rnacentral:rRNA from 1 species
GACGUAGGGCGCAAGCGUUGUCCGGAAUUAUUGGGCGUAAAGAGCUCGUAGGCGGCUUGUUGCGUCGACUGUGAAAAAACCACGACUCAACCGUGGGACUGCAGUCGAUACGGGCAGGCUAGAGUUCGGUAGGGGAGACUGGAAUUCCUGGUGUAGCGGUGAAAUGCGCAGAUAUCAGGAGGAACACCGGUGGCGAAGGCGGGUCUCUGGGCCGAUACUGACGCUGAGGAGCGAAAGCGUGGGGAGCGAACAGG